GGGAGGAUCCGGGCGCGGGGAAAGCGGAGCGUCCGGGACGCGGCGGGACUCGAGUGUUUCGGAAAAGGAGCGUCUCCCCAGGCGGUGGUUGUCUUCACUAGCGAUGGGGUAAAAGGAGGACGCAAUACCUGGUUCAACUUGAGCAGACGGAGUCUCGCUAUGUUGCCCAGGCUGGGGUGCAGUGGCGUGAUCUCUGCUCACUGCAAGCUCCGCCUCCCAGGUUCACGCCAUUCUCCUGCCUCAGCCUCCCGAGUAGCCGGGACCACAGGCGCCCGCCACCACGCCUGGCUAAUUUUUUUUAUUUUUAGUAGAGACGGGGUUUCACCGUGUUAGCCAGGAUGAUCUCAAUCUCCUGACCUCGUGAUCCGCCCGCCUCGGCCUCCCAAAGUGCUGGGAUUACAGGUGUGAGCCACCGCGCCUGGCCGAUCAUGAAUAUGUUAAUUUAAGCAAAUGAAUGUCCCUGGGAAUGAUCUUCAAAGAGAAUUAAAGUGGGAUAGAGAAGU